rnacentral:rRNA from 1 species
UACGUAGGUGGCAAGCGUUGUCCGGAUUUAUUGGGUUUAAAGGGUGCGUAGGCGGCCUUAUAAGUCAGUGCUGAAAUAUCCCGGCUUAACCGGGAGGGUGGCAUUGAUACUGUAGGGCUUGAGUAAAGUUGAGGUUGGCGGAAUUGACGGUGUAGCGGUGAAAUGCUUAGAUAUCGUCAAGAACACCUAUUGCGUAGGCAGCUAACUAAGCUUUAACUGACGCUGAGGCACGAAAGUGUGGGGAUCAAACAGG